CUUGAAUGUAUGUAUGUGUUUGCCAGCCCCUUCCCCCAGUGUAUGAUAAACACAUUCUCCUGUAUAUUUGCAGACAGCCAGGCUCUCAAAGAUUGGUGGAUAUGACUUAAAGAGCUGUUUAAGCACCAUAAUGGACAGGCUCAUGACAAAUGAAUUAAUGUCCAAUCUGAACAUGAAGGGGAGAGGGGGAAAAAAAUAGCUUUGCCGAGACGAAGCUGCUCGAUUUAGUCACAGCUAGUGUCUUGGAUACCCAGAAGGGGACCGAAACGAUGGUCCAUGAUGCCUUAAAAAAUAAACUGAAAUAUGCCCCUGGACGGAAGGGAGGAAUAGGAUGGGCAUCACAGGCUAAAUAAAUAAUUAUAUCGAUUGACAUUCUCCAUUUUCUUUGUACUUAAUUUUAAUUUUGCAUUAACAGGAUUCAGCCUGGAGCUAUAUAUGCACUAUGUUUUGUUGUCUUUAAUUAUAUUUAUAUA